rnacentral:rRNA from 1 species
UACGGAGGGGGCUAGCGUUGUUCGGAAUUACUGGGCGUAAAGCGUGCGCAGGCGGCUUUGCAAGACAGAUGUGAAAUCCCCGGGCUUAACCUGGGAACUGCAUUUGUGACUGCAUGGCUGGAGUGCGGCAGAGGGGAUGGAAUUCCGGCGUGUAGCAGUGAAAUGCGUAGAUAUGCGGAGGAACACCGAUGGCGAAGGCAAUCCCUGGGCCUGCACUGACGCUCAUGCACGAAAGCGUGGGAGCAAACAGG